CUGGAGGGUUCGGACGAUUUAAAAGAGCCACUGUGAUUUUUUUUUUUUUACAGAGUCAAACCCACCCAUGAAAACCCAGUCACCCUGCUUCUCCCAUCCUCGUUCCCGCACCUCUAGGAGUGGAAGGGGCCACCGCCUGGCGGAAACCCGCGUGCCCGGGGCUAACCUCCAGGCCCAGCCAUCAGUCACCGCGCCCGCCCGCGCUCUACGCCGCCUUCCCGAGCCCUCGACCUGUAGGGCUGGAAGCUCUCGGCCUCCCGGGCGCUCAGCGCCUCUUCCCCCGGCUUCGCUGCGCCCAGCGCGCUGCCCUUCCCUCUUCCUAGCCGCCCCGGCGCCUUCCCUACCGCUGCGUUGUUGGUAGAGGGCAGGCAAAGAGGCGCGCGUUUCGGGGUGCCCAGCUCAAGGAAGCGCUGCUGCCGAGGGGGAAGCCAGCAGCCGGCUCCCGCACUGCUCGGCAGCAGCCCUUGGGGAUAAACCACGAGGGAGCCCGGUACCAGCAACCGUAGGGCUAGCUCAGCACCACCGCGCCACGGGGGAGCUCACCGCAAGGCCGAAGGUCGCGGGCGCAGGAGGAUCCGAGGAGACAGGCAGGAGGGCGCACUACGGAGCGCACUGGCCGCAGCUGAAGAAGUGCCCCGGAGAAGCCACAGAGCCACCCCCUGGAGACGCACUCCUGGACUUGGCCAGCUCCACGAUCGCUCGCUGAGCUGACUGCUCUCCCCCUCCCUGGGAACAAGCCCAGCAUUUUACACACCCAGCUUCUCUCUGAGGGUCUCCAGUAUGCUCUCCCUCGUGCUCUGCUGGACGCCUGCUGCAGGGGACACACUCUGCUAGGCUGCGGACUUGGGCACCACAUACGGACUCCACGCCAGUGAGACCCAGGGAGUUUUUUGUGCCACCCUGUAACCCCAGGAAGUCACCACCGGAGCCACCAACAUGAGGAUUGCACCACCCAAACCAAAAAUUCUUUCCUCUUCUGGAACCCCAGCCAGCCUUUCCCUCUCCGGCUGUCUGACCUUCCCCUCAGCCCUUGCCACCUUUGCUCCUGGACCCCUCGGAACACAGCGUCAAGGACCUACAUUCUACAGAGAUUGCCAGAUGCCUGCUUUGCCUACACCCUGCAUUCCCAAUGAGAGGCACCUGGAGCCCACCUGAAUUCCAGAUACCAACUGUGUGACUGAAUAGACUUCCUAACCUCGGGGGGUUCUUUGGCUGCAGGGGACUUGGCUGAACCCUCUAUCUGCAGGAGCCCUGCAGAUAAGACUCAUGUGCUAGAUUGCUAGAGAUACCUCUGGUGUGCUGGAUGCUUAAUGGGCACUUACCUCUGAAGGACUGGGGCUGGUGGACGGCUCCAUUCAGUUUUGGGAGCGCUGGGAUCUCCUAGGCCACAGGCCACAGCAGCUGGCCUCAGGGCUGGAUUCUCGGGCUGCUCUGGCCUGUUGCUUCUCAGGCUUCGGCUCAGGCUUCGGCUCAGGCUUCGGCUCAGGCUUCGGCUCAGUCUCCAGCCUCGGCUCAGGCCUUGGCACAGGCCUUGGCUCAAGUUUUGGCCUCGGCUCAGGCCUCGGCUCAGGAGGCCUUGGCACAGGCCUUGGCACAGACCUUGGCUCAAGUUUCGGCCUCCACUCAGGCCUCGGCUCAGGGGGCCUUGGCACAGGCCUUGGCUCAAGUUUUGGCCUCCGCUCAGGGAUUGGCUCAGGCCUCGGCUCAGGCCUCGGCUCAAGUUUUGGCCUCGGCUCAGGCCUCCGCUCAGACUUUGGCUUAGGCUGGAGAAGAGGCUCAGUCUGAGGAGAUGUAGGAUUCUGGGAUAGGGCCCUGAGAUCAUCCUCAUCAUCCAGAUCCUGCACAGUGAACUGGGUGCUGACCACUCGGCCCCUGAGGAGAAGCAAAAGUCCUUGAUAGGGUCUCAAAAACAAGUCUUCUCCAGCUGAGUCUAGCCCACUCCUUCCCCCUCUCUUUGUUGCUGGAUGGGGAAGCCUGUGGGUCACCUUGUCAGGCCUGGGCACUCCCACCUCAUACCCCUGUCCCUUCAGCUGCUUACCCCCUCUCCCUUUUUAAGUAGAAGGAAGGAAGCAGUUGGUGAGAAGUCACUGCCAAGUUGGACAACUGCUCAGGCAGAGGCAAGAGACCCUCCUUUGGGAAGGACAAACUGGCCUUUUCCUGGUUGUGGGUGGGCUUCUGCCUUGGCGUGGACAGGGGGUGUUGAACACAAAAGGCUUUCUUUAAGGGGGUCACAGCUAAAAGUAUGAAAGUCUCCCAUGUGAAGAGUGGUCUUCACAUUCCCACCUUGGUGGGAGAAAAAAAACCAAAGGGCUCAUGGCUCUGCUUUGGUAAGGCAACCUCUGGAAGGGGUGACUGGGCUUCUUCAGGAAAUAGACCCUCUCCCCAUAAACACUACACUGGGUGGAUUAAGGAGUCUGAGAUUCCCAGUUGCAGGGAAAAAAAACUUUAUGCACAAACAAGCGUGCACCUAUGAGUGCCGCUACUGGCCCAAAUUCCUACUUAUGGACAGGGAACACUAGAGGGAAGGUGCAUAAAGAG